GCGGGUGUAAUCUAGUGGUAGGAUAGAGGCCCUCCAAGCCUUUAGCCCGGGUUCAAAACAGCCUUUUUCUUUUCUCUAAGAGAGAAAAGAAAAACGUUGGCGAAAAAGAAAGAGAACUGCUGACUUACCAGUCGGCAUAGCGAUUUUGCCCUAAGGGCAAAAUCGCAGUUCUUUUCUUUCUUCAACAGCUGGUGAAAUUCCCGGCACCCGCA
rnacentral:tRNA from 1 species